rnacentral:snRNA from 1 species
AUUACAGGCGUGUGCCACCUCGCCCAGCUGUGUUGGAUCUUAUCACUUUCACACCUGGCACAUUCUCCACCUAAGGAUAAUAUAGUAAACAGAUUUUUGGAGCUGGGAGCUGGAAUAGAAGCUUGCUCUGUCCACUCCAUGCACUGACCUGGUAUUGCAGUAGCUCCAGGAAUGGUGCACCUGCU